AGGUAGAUGCAGUGUCAUAGGCAUAACCGUGCCUAUCAGCAAUGGUGAAGACAGGGUGUCUUGCCCACCAGCCUGCAUACUUGCAGAGACAGCUGCAGCAACAGCAGCAUUGGUUUCCAAGCAGAAGAAUCAGAAGGUGCCAAUGUUUUGGAGAGGCACCCAAAUUUUUUUUUGCCCAGGGCCCCCAAAAGUCUGGGAACAGCUCUGGUCAUGAUGCUGAACUCCUGAAUUAUCGACUCUUGCUUCUCUUCAAUUCAAUAAAAAAAUAAUGAUAAAAAGAAAUCAACGGAGGCAGCAGACUGUUUGGAUUGAUAACAAAUCAGCAAUAUUUUAUCAACUUGUUUUUUAUGAAGUGUAAAAGCUACUGAAAUAAAAUAGUAUCUAAUUUAAA